CAGGCAUAGGAAUUGUAUGCUAAGUUGCUUCUUCCCCAUCCUGGCCAGCUGAUGGGUAAAAGUUGGCUUUUAUACUGGGGGUAAGGAAGAAGCAACACUUACCUUUUGGGAUAUGGAGGUAAGUUGCCCCUUAUUAGGAUAUUACUUGGUAACACUAAUACAUAUCAGUUUUAAUACACCACUCUCGCAGCCGCUGUAGCUUAGAAAACUUUUUAACGAACAAUUAAGCAUGCUGUUUUCAUCCAAAAUGUUCUCUUUGGAUCUAUUGAAACUCACAUCCCUGAAAAACAUAAAGAGUCCUAAGGUUUCUUAUAAUCACCAAACUGGAAUUUCUGUUCAUUGAAUAGGUUCCUGCCACCUAAGCUGAUCCUAGUUCAUUUUUUGUUUUUCCUUCUCCAAUUGUUUUCAAAUAACAAAUAUUGUGAUUGAAAUAAUGUUGAGUGUAACAGAGUAAUCCAUAUUUAUAGAAUUCAUGUGCCUUUGUUUACAAACAGAAAAUGAAUUUGGGAGUUCCCAGUGGAUUUCAGGGACCUCUUGUACUUGAUAUUUUGUCUAAAGGGUUAUUUAGUGAUAUCAGUUAUUUAGUUAUUGUUAAUUUAGUUUGCUUCAUGGCUUCUGAUUCAUUCUGAACUUGCAAGACUGUUGAAGACCCAAGACUUGUUGUAGAAUGUGAAGCAGGAUCCAUUUCUCUGCAUUGCUGAUGAACAGAGCAGGGGGGGAGCCUGUGAUAUAAACACAGAGUAACCUAAUUAUUAUGUGGCCAUUGCCCUGAAACAUAUAAUUAUUGGAACAGCAGCAAAAAGGAAGUAGAAGGGGAAACUCUAAGACUGGGACGAGGACAUUGCUGGGCUUUGUCCUACAGUUUCUAUAAUUCCUUACCAUUGGGCCAUGUUAGCUUGGACUGAUGGAAGUUAUGGCACAAUAGCUUCAGGGGACUCGGCUACAUAGGUAAAGAAAAUGCUUUAUAUACAUUGUAACACUGUAACACCAGAUGGCGCUGCGGAGUCCCGUCUUUCGCCAACUGGAUUUCCCUUUAUGAAGUUUACAACGCGUUUAACUGAGUCGUUUUUUUGAUAUGUCUAGAUCCAGCCAGGGUCUUUUAAUGGCAGUUUAAAGGCUUCUUGUACUGUAAGCUUCCAUAAGCUACAGUCCAAAGUAGGCUUGAAGUGGACUCUAGUUCACAAAAGCUUGUGCAACAACAAAUCUGCAUAGGAGGCGCACGAGGGAGGGGGGGUGGUGCCAUCCAAACUGUAAGGCAUGUUGUGGGAGCUUCUUUUUGGCAGAGCUUCCCCAACCUCACCUCGCCCAACCUCCACGCUGGCAAACACAGUCCUACCACCAAGAGGAAGCCAUUUCUGCUCCACCCUCUCUCACCUGCCACUGCUGGUUAGCCGAAGUUAGAGCCCAGUGACUUAGGUGUCAUGGAUUUCUGUGGGAACUGUGUUCAACAACUAAGCCCAGAUCCAACAUUUUAAGGUGCCACAAGACUCUGUUGUUUUUCUACAACCAUUUCACUCAGCUUUCAUGCUCAUGAUGCUUUGCGCCACCACUCACUUUAAUCACCUAUAGCACUAAAAGUUCUUUGUCAGAGUUAGUGGAUGGAAAGGAGGAUUUUGGAUUUUGGCAAACACAGGAUGGAACCCUUCUGUAUAUUACUGAAAUGCCCCUUGCUAAUAAAGGUAAAAGGUAAAGGACCCCUGGACAGUUAAGUCCAGUCAAAGGCGACUAUGGGGUUGCUGCGCUCAUCUCGCUUUCAGGUCGAGGGAGCCGGCGUUUGUCCACAGACAACUUUCCAGGUCAUGUGGCUAGCAUGAUUAACCGCUUCUGGCACAACAGACCACCGUGACAGAAGCCAGAGUGCACGGAAACGCUGUUUACCUUCAUGGUACCUAUUUAUCUACUUGCACUGGUAUGCUUUCAAACUGCUAGGUUGGCAGGAGCUGGGACAGAGCAACGGGAGCUUGCCCCAUCUUGGGGAUUUGAACCGCCGACCUUCUGAUUGGCAAGCCCAAGAGGCUCAGUGGUUUAGACCACAGCACUAUCUGCAUCCCUUGCUAAUAAAGGUGCUUGGUACCCUCCAUGUAGUAACCCAUAUGUGGUUUUCUCCUAAACCCUCUCAGCAUGUUGAAGUGGCCACACACUUUACAAGUAUUUCUGUCCUCCACCGCAGAUCUCCUUUGCUAUUCCUGUGAGCUGCAAUUAAUAAGUCAGAAACCAGAGCUCUUUCAAACUGUCCGUAGCCCUUCUCCUUCCUUGGGUAGGCUAUAUUAGAGCAGUACAGUACCAGGAAACAGGGAGUGGUUCAAGGCCUGAAUUCUAUUUUUAAAGCUUAAACUUCUUCCAGAUACUAUAAAAGAACCAAGGGCACCGUUAGAUGUGCUUCAAGAAGCUCUUAUUGAAAUUAUUACAUAUAUUUCAGUCUGGGGUCAGGACCUUGAGUAGCUGGUAUUCUCACGAAAAGGUCAGUCCCCAGAAUGGAUUAGUCCCUGAAUGCAAUAUUGCUACAAAUGUCUAGCAAUAUUAAUGAGAAGCUGGAAUGCUAUUGUCUACCUUUGCUUAUUCUGCAAAGGGUGCUUUCCAGAAGUAGCAGGGGAGGUAGAGUAGGCAAGGAAGAGUUGUGGUUUGUUAUUGAUUUUGAUUCUGCAACUCAAGUGCUUUGUUGGAUUGUCUUACUGAUUAUAGGCAGUAACAAGCAGAUGAUUUGAGCAUAUUAUUGUUUUAAAGAAUAAUUCAUUUUUUCCCUACAUGGCUCCCUCUAUAGUCAGUGCUGGAUUUAUGUAUCGGCUAAGAAGGCUGAAGCCUAGGGCCUCUAAAUCUAGGGGGCCUUGCCAUGCCUCCCACUCCCCAGUGCCGCAGUCUCCCCUCUCCCAAAAUUGUAAACCCAAGACUUCAUGCAAGGGCAGGUCAACUCAGGCCCCACAACUAUGAGACUCGGGGCUAGCCAGUGGGGCCCAAUUUGAAGCAAGCUUGGGCUUCACUCAAAUUUGUUUAUAACACUCUUCCAUUUUCUUCUAGUUGUGAGGGUGGGGGUGGGGAGGGGCCUCACAAGUGGAGUAGGGCCUUUCUUCAUCUAAAUCCGGCCCUGGCAGCAUGUCCCUGUGCUUGUUUAUAUUGUUGACAUCUGUCUUGAGAGACAAUGGAGUGUGUCUCCAGGGGUGAAGUCAAGCCACUGCACUUGGCAGUGCUGAAGUGAUCUCCCCAGAGCACAAGCCUAGGCAGUGUGUAUGGAGGUCCUGGGAUGUCCAGGCGGCAAGACCCCACCCUUGGCCUUUGCGGUCCAAAGGAAAGCAGAGUAAUCCAGCUUGGCUGCAGGAGUUGGCAGAAGGAGGCAAACAAGGCACCAUGAUUGUCUUAGGGAACCCACACCAGAUUUGCGUAGGGUUCACGCCUUAGCCUUUUCUUCUUCCAAAGAUAUCCUGCUGUACAUAUAUGCCUGUAAAUAUAUGCCUGUAAAUAUAUGGCAUUUUGCAUCACAUUCAAUAUGGGUACACACUAAAGUAAGAACAAAGUAUGAAGCAGUCCAGAGUUCUGCGUAACUCAGAACUGAAAUGAGCUUGCAAGCUGUCAUACUAACAGCUGCUGGUGCAAUAAAAAAAUAUCACCUUACCAAUUCUAUGCUCUUUAUUUUCGGGGGCCAACAGUGGUAUCGAACAACUGUUUGCUAAACCUCCUAUCAAGUCACAGCUGUUUGAUCUAUUGGAAGCUCGUAAUGAAAGAUCCUAUUACCUGAAUUGAUUAUAUGCUGUCAUACUCUAAUUUAGCCUUGGUUGUUUGUAUGUAAACUCAGAUUCAAUUUAGCAGACUAAAUUCAAGGCAAAGUCUAUGAAAGCUGAACAGAAGUUAGUCCAGUAAAAGAUAUCACCUUACCAUCUCCGGCUGUGAUUUUGAAAACACCCUGCUAGAAUAAAUUGCAUUGCAUUCAACAGCUUUCAGUCCUUCUCUCUCCCCCGAUUCCUUUCUCUUCGCACCCACAAAAACACAUAGACUAACAACAACACAAUAUCAUGCAUGGUCAUGUGAAACUACAAGCAUCUAUUUUUAAGGCAAUAUUUCAAAGUCAACCCAAAAUGAUAUGGAAUUUUAGGCACUCAGAAUGAAGUUCCACUGUAUCCAAUGGAACUUAUGGUACUCCAAAGCAAGUUUUCAUGGAUAGGAUUGCAUCAUCAAUUCACAGAACUCUGGGCUAUUUUGUACGUUCUUCUGUUAUCAAUUUUUAUUCAUUUUUUUAAAAAUGUGAGCAUUGUGACUAAGUUCUGCUGAAUUUCAAUACUCUCUGUUUACAUUAUAAAAAAUGCUACCUUGAGGAUUAUGAUGGAAAGGAAGGGCAGAGAUCUUUGGACUGAUAUAGAAAUAAAUAAUAAUAAACAGAAUAUUAAGGAGAGGAAAGACCCUGGCCAUUUGCCUCUUGUGUGUUGUGCCCUCUUCAUAAGAUAAGAGGAGGAUAUAAUUGAAGGUGUACUUUACAGCUUUGCUCAAUGACCCUGUUUAUGAAGAGGAAGAAGACAUGAAUUUGGAGCAGCUUCUCUCUAACCUUGUUCACUGGUCAAGCCAACACCCCCCCCCCAAAAAAAUAAUUAUGCUGGCAAAAAGAAUUAGACAAAUUUGCUGGCAAAAAGAAUUAGACAAAUAUACAUGGGCUGAGGAGAAAGUUCAGGCAUCAAAAAUGUAUUGAGGAAAUGUUUGACAUGGAGGAUUAGUUUGAUGAUACAUGAUAGGGCGGGAGCUGAAUUUUCAAACCGUUGCAAAUUUGACUUGUAUUUGGGAGGGAAGGUAUGGGGGAGGAUAAAGGCAAGAGGAAACUGCCUCCCCUCUUGAAUGUUUGAAGUAGGACUGCGUGUGAUCUGUUUAGCUGGUGACCACCCUUGCCAAUCUCUGAGGCUGGGAUGACAAGAAGCAAUCUGGGGAGGAUAAUAUUCUGAUGAGUUCCAGUGAGUCAGCCCAUGAAAACUGUACAAUCCCGCACAUGAAAAUAGCUCCCACUUAAUUUUGGAACCUGUAAAUGGAGCUGUAAAAUUAGAGGAGGCUUCUCUGCAACAUUUCUGCAUUUUAUUUGCAAACUUCAUAACUCUUUUGCAACCAUUGAUCUAAACCAAUUCCCAAUUAGCUAAUUACUGAGGACCCCCUAUCUUUCAAAAGCCAAGCCACAGAAUUCCAACUUUUGAUAAUUUUGAUAACUCUAUGGUAGUUACCUCUGCAAAGACAUUUUUUGAACAAAAUGUGGGGUAGCCCCUAAUUUGCAAAGGAUGUUAGGUAUACUAUAAAAAAACCCCACCAAACCACAGACUAGCACUGAGUGAUAUCUGGUUUUCAACAUUGUGAUGUAUCAGUAGCUAAACAUCACAAUAUUCUGAUAUAUCACAAUGUCUGAAACUGAAGAUCAUGCAUGGGGAUGAGGGAAGGAACAGUCAUGGAGUGGGGUUUGUGCAGAUGAGGGAAGGAACAGAUGGGUGGGGUUCGUGCAGAUCAGGUGUGGGGAUUAGGGCUGGGCGAUGUCAGGUUUUCAACAUCACGGGGUAUCACCAGCCAAACAUUACGGUUUGGCGGUAUACCACAAUGUUGAAAUAAGCUGCAUUGGCUCCAGCCCAUGAGCUGAUGCACUUUCAACCCAGCGCCUCAUAGGCUGGGGCCAAUGCAGCUGGCCCUGGCCUGCUGCCCAGUGGGGGUGAGGGAAGACCCUUGCCCUCCAGCUCAGCGAGCCCCAAUAACCCUGCAUGGUUGUGACAGGCAUAUCAGGGCUACUUUCUGAGGCACAGUGCUAAAACAGACCAUAAAACUUGUGAUAUUACCAUGCAAAAAUGACCAAAAAAAAAAUAGUUGGGAGGGAGAGGGAUGGGCCCGUGGACCCCCUGGGUGCAUUCUGCAGACCCCCAGGGGUCCCCGGACCCCUAAUUGGGAACCACCAAUCUAAACAAAUAAGCUUCUACAUCUUAUGUGCUUACAUAAGAUAAAGAUGAGAUAAAGAUUACUGCUGCUUCCUCUUGUGAUCCUUUACAAGCAUGGGGUUUGGGGUGCACUACACACUACAAGUCUUCAAUGGAAGGGGCAGCCUCGCUUGCACUCCUCUUCCUUGUACUGAGCAGGAAGAACCAGGCAAAGCUUAUUUACACAGAAUCGCCCCUUUCCAACAAGGCAUUCUGUACUGAGCUAUAUCAAUAUUUCAAAUGCUGUUAUAUACCACCUAUUCAAAAGCAUGAAAGUGUUGCUGAUCUGUUAAGAAUGGUUCAAGUAGUUAUUGUGAGAAAAGUUGUGGUCUGUCUCAAUAGCCAUUCCCAUUUUGUCAGUGAAGGGUUAGAAUAUUUGGCAUUUUCUUAUUGUUAGUAAGUGUCGUUUUCAUUCUUUGCCUUACGGCUUUGUUUAGCCUUAACAGAGAAUUCUCUAAAAUGCAUUUCAUCUUUCUAAUGUCUAUAGUAAGUUCAAAGGAAAAACAUUUCUGCAAGUCAAACAGAAUAUACCAUCUUGGAAAAGUUCAGCCCAGUUUAUUUAUUUUCAGCAAUUUUGUCUGAGGAAACUCCUCCUCUAAAAAAACAAAAAAACACUUUCCAAGAAACAAAAGCAAUGUAACAUUUAAUAAUAAUAAUAAUAAUAAUAAAUUUUAUUUAUAUCCCGCCCUCCCCAGCCAAAGCCAGGCUCAGGGCGGCUAACAACAAACAAAUAAUCAAACAAUCAAAUAAUCAACAUUCUAAAAACAUUUCAUUAUAAAAUUAAUUAAAAUCAAAUUAAUGGCAACCGUUAAGCAAAGUUCUGUGCAGGUUGCCGGAGGUGGGAGUCAGGCUGGGCCCUGACCAAAGGCCUGGUGGAACAACUCUGUCUUGCAGGCCCUGCGGAAAGAUGUCAGGUCCCGCAGGGCCCUAGUCUCUUGUGACAGAGCGUUCCACCAGAUUGGAGCCGCAGCCGAGAAAGCCCUGGCUCUAGUUCCCAUGCUGAGGGCUAAGAGGUAUGGAACUCCUGAAAUAAUAAUUAGGAAUUAAGAUGAAUUAAUCUAAAGAUUCACUAGACAGGAAGAACACAUUCUCUAAGCAUGUCUACUUAGAAGUAAAUGUCAUUGACUUCAGUUAGGCUUAUUCCCACGGUAAACGAUUGAAGCCUGAAUCUAAAUGCAUUGAGUCCAUGGAUUAUUAAAUCAUUAUAGUAUUUUAUAAUGCUUUCCAGUGACAUUGUGAGAGUUUCUGUGGCCAUACCUUCCCAUUAUAGAACUGGCAGGGGAGCCAACUUGAAAAAAUAUUGGGGGGGGGGGAGGUAAGCCCCGCCCUGCAUAAUCGAUCACAACACCAUCUGAAUCGCAAUGCCCAUCAACUUUGUGGGGGACAGCUCCCUCAAAUAUUUUAUUGGUGGGGUGAAAGGACCUCAGCCUCUAGCACUUGGCUCCUAUGACUGGCAUACAUACAGAAUACAUAAGAAUUUGGAGUUAAUGCAUAGCCUCUUCUAGGAAACCAGAUGUUAAAUGGUGAAAGCAUAUUUCCAUGACAUAAUUGUUUGGAAUUCCCUUUUUCCUCAGUGAAGAAGGAGCAGAAGAAAGUGCAACUCUUCUUAGCAUGUUUAGAGCUAUAACUUGAAGUACAGUUAGUCGUCAGAGUCUUUCGAAAGGACAAAGGCCAGGGAUGGGGAAGUUGUGGUCCUCCAGAUGUUGCUGGACUCCAACUCCCAUCAGCCUUUGCCCUAUCCAACCAAUUCAUUGUCAGGGCUGAUGGGAGAUGUAGUCUAGCAACACAUGUAGGGUCACAGCUUCCCUACCCCUGCUUCAGGCCCACUUCUGCAGAGCACCCAGUCAUCUCCAUGUCCAGCAGCUUCUUCCCCCUUUCCACCUGGUAUCAUGCAUUUCAGAAAAAAGAGGCAGGGAAAGAGAGAGAUAAAUUGGCUUCUGACAGCUGGUUUGUGCUCCAGGGAGCAGCGAUCAAUGAAUCUUUCUUCCCUUGCUGAGCCUGAGAGAUGCCUGGCUAGGGUGUGCGUAAAUCAUUAAUUGUGGCUUCCGUUGGGCUCAGCAUUUUCUUGAAUGCUCCUGCUAGGAGACAUAUUUAUAUGGCAGCUUCUUUAGAUUCCUAGAAGGAACUGGGAGGAUAUUGGUGAUGUUUAUAAGCGAAGUUAAAAGGUGGUGAUUUAUCUGUAGAAACACUUUGAUAAUUAAGCACACUUUUUUGCACAGUUGCGUGGCUCAUAUCUCUCUUAUUUGUUGCUUUUUACACCAGUUGUCUCAAAGCAACUUAUGUAUUAAAAAAAUAGAGAUAAGAAAAAGCAUUAAAAGCAAAUCUAAAGCAAGACCUAAAGUACUCAUCCAAAUUUAUAGGGCCAGAUUCAGCUAAAUAGCUCCUACUACUGCAAUGUGUUCUGCUAGUACGACUGGACUUUCCCCUACUUCCUUCCCCUGUGAGCUCACCAUGUCCCCCCACAUGUCUGUGGGAUCAGGAGAUUCCCCCCUCCCCGAACAGCCUGCAGUGGGGAGAGGAAGGAUCAUUCUCUCUGGAAAGCUAAAAUGCUUGUGCUGGUACAGUGGUACCUCAGGUUAAGUACUUAAUUCAGUCCAGAGGUCCGUACUUAACCUGAAACUGUUCUUUGUCAUGGCUAAAAUGGCCGCUGUUUCUUUAAUGGAAAUAAAGCUGGGUCAGCAUGAGUCAGCAGCCGGCACCAGGUUGUAUAUAUAGAGUGAGAAAUGUUAGUUUGGUGCUGGUGCUGGGGUUGGUUGGUUAGUGAAAGCUGGUAGUGGUGAUGUAUGUAUAGUUAGUCAGUCGCUUUUGCACAAAGACUUUUAAGAAUAAAACUCUGCAAGGAUAUUCUCGUGGACUCUUUUAUGCCGACAAGGGUCCGAGGACCAGGCUGAGGAGACAAAGGGAGGUCAGAACCUUUUCCUCCUUUUUUGCUUUUUACAAACACUGGCAUUCUUAACCUGAAGCACCACUUUAGCUAAUGGGGCCUCCUGCUGCCGCCGCGUCGCCGGAGCCCAAUUUCUGUUCUUAUCCUGAAGCAAAGUUCUUAACCUGAAGCACUAUUUCUAGGUUAGCGGAGUGGGUAACCUGAGGCAUAUGUAACCUGAAGCGUAUGUAACCCGAGGUACCACUGUAUAAUGAUUCUAAUAGCAGAACAUUCAAUUGCACCCAUAUUAUUUAUACUCAGUCUGUUGGUGAAAUCCAUGGCACCCUUUUAUACUAUAGGUCAGGGGUUGGCAAACUGUGUCCCUCUGGGUUGAUGGACUCCGACUCCCAUCAGACUCAGCCAGCAUUGUCUGGGUUGAUGAGAACUGCCCAUCACUGCCGUAGGUUACAUUUUGUAUUUUUACUUUGGCUGUGGUCUUGGAAAAACGCUCAAGAGAAAUGAAUUGGGCUUACGUUCAAAGAAAUCAGCUUAGGAACGAAUGCCAGCAAAUUGUGUCAAUAGGAUACAUGCUGCUGUCCAUUAAAGGAAGAUCUGUAAUGCAACUGUAGUCCAUUUUAUUUACCUUGGAAUAAACUGAAGUGUGCCCAAUAUGUGAUAAACGAUUAUCUGCGAAAGUGCUAUAUCAAGUUGCAAAAGAAAAACCCAGCCUAAAAGAACAGCUUUGUUGAGCUUGGAUGUUCUGUUUGGUGGAAGCUCUCCAUGCCUGUUCUACUAAACCAAAAACAUCUAAAGGUUAAUAGUGUGCUGCUAAAUAGUGCACUGCUAAAUAUCUGCCCAGCAGGUGUCUGCAGACAUCAGUGAUGGGAACUGCUUCUAAAGAUGCCUUGGAAUUCACAGGGUUAGCUGGCGCUGUGAAAUAAAUGCCCUGCCUCCCAGGAAUGCUGUGAAAGUGAAACUUAACUUGAAUACUUAGGUUCGCAGCCCUUGCUUGGAUCAGCUCUUAGGAAGGCCCUUACACCAGGCAAACAUUCAUAGUGGAAAUAGGAAAUAUGCCUGUAGAUUUCCUAUUGGAUGAAGCCUUUAUUUGGUUGUGCUGUGCAGAGGGAGUUGGUUUUUGCUCAAUCGCUUUUCAAACUAUUGCCUGCAAUGGAAAAGGAGCACUUUUUUCAACACUUCUUACCAUGAACUGCUAGAUAGUCAUAUACUCCUGUUCCUUUCCUGAUUUCCUGUGUUUGCUGGGGCUUGCUAUUUCUGCACUUUCCAGAGGAGUCAGCAUGGCCUGCUAAAUCAAACUGAGAUUGCAAUGUGUUUAAGAUACCUAACUCCUCAGUCUCUGAUUCUUCAUGUGUUUUCUUUGGUUUGAAUGAAGAUUGUAGUGCUUCGAAUGUGUGUGUGUGUAACCCCUAUGAAUUAUGCAGUCCCAAUAAAUUAUUCACUUGCAUCUUUUCUCUGGUUUGCUGUUGGCUUGGCAUAGCUCCCAACCACCACUGUAGAAUUAUCGGGUCUUCUUCUUCCUGGGAAUCAUUACAUGGACAAUCCCAGCUAACCAGGGAUCCCAGAAUGAACUAGAUGAUGUCAUGAAUCUAUGUUACCAAUCAGACUUGGGCAUGUGACAACAUUUGCUCCGGAUACAUGGAGCCAAUUCAGAGUGGGGGCAUUGUAUUAUUACCUGAGCAGUAGCCAGGACUCUAGUACAGAGGGAUAGAACCAGCGAGAUCAGGAAGACAAGCAGCACAGGACACAGAUAUUCCAGGACCAGACACAGAGCCUUAGCUGCAGCCAGUCAGCCAGGACCUGCCUCAAACUGUUAGGGGGCUCUUUGCCCUUCGGGAAUGGGGUGGAGCCUGGAAAGGAUAGUUUAGCCCAGGGGGAAGUACCCCUGGGCUCAGCCCUAAUGUGCAGAACUUGGAGGGAGCAGGAGCUGGGAUUCCUAGUAUAUAAUCUGUACCCAUGUUAUAUACUGUAAGUUAUGUUAGGAACUGCCUUGCAAAACUAUUUUAAAUUUGUGUGAAAUAAUAAAAGCCACCAGCGUAUACAGAUUGGCAUCUUCUUGUUCCUUAAGCCUACAGGGAUGACUUAAAACAGAUUUAUAAAACCCAUGAAUGUAGCGGGAUUGUACAUUCAGCAGAUUCCUUUUAAUGCAAGGUGCUUUCAUCUUCUACUUUUGAAAGCUGGAGGGUAAACUAAGAAUAACUGGUUCCCCUUCUUUGUUUUAUAAUUCAGGAUCCUUUGAUAACCCUCUCCUUGCUAGCAUCGCUUUAAAGUGAAUGUAUGGCUGCUAUCUUCUGCUACCUUUGUAAAAAAAUCAGCAUAUAUGCUGAGCUCAUAAUAUUGUAAUGAGCAUUUCCCCAUAUAUUUAUGAAUCAGUGUAGCUGGCUAGCUUACUGACACACACUCCACCACCUCCGGUAAAUAUUGCAAUGAUGUAGUUCCGUCACCCCACACUGUAUGUAAUAUUCUUAGCAAGUAAUGGCUACAAAAAAAUGCAUAUAUGAAGGCAAAGUGUACGAAAAAUGCUUAUAAUGUUAAAAAUUACAUAAAAGAGUGCAUUAUAUUGAGGAAAGUAGAAAUAUUAGGGGAAAUACGUUUAUAUUAGGAAAAAGUUUGCACUAAAAUGUUGAUGACUUUGCUUGAGGAAAAAAACACACAAAUUGAUAUGAAAAGGGAAAGAGAAAGAGAGAAAUGAGAAACAGAAGCCAGAAUUAACAGAUUUGGCCAUCCGUGGAGGUGAUACAGUGGUAGUGUCGUUCUGAAGUUUCCAAUAAAUAAACCAAUUUUUGCCCAUUGUAGGAAUGUAGCAAGCUCUCUGAUGCUGACUGGCUGCGGCUCUCUACAGUUUCAGGUAUGGGACCUGCCCGCCCCCACCUGGAAAAACUGCAGGUGGAACCUGGAAUCUUCUAACGCACAGCAGAUGCUUCACCACUAAACUAUUAUCCUUCUCCCAAAUAUCAGAGAUGGCAAGUAUUACUGCUGUGACCCACACGUCAGGCCCACACAAAGAUGUUAAAAUAUAUUUAAACUGACUGUUGGGCUGCCGUCGGUUGCUAGGCAACAAGUGCUUUGUUUAUAAGUCCCCGAAAGAUAACAAGUCUUGCAAAUUCUGUAAGUGCCAGACUUUGGAAAUGGCUCCGUCAAUCUAAGCAGGGCUCCUCCGCCAGCACAAAUAUAUUUCUGGUGUGACCCUCAGUUCUGACACUCCCACUUAAUGGCUGCAGCUGACUUAUGUGGGACUCUGCCUCUUGUUAGGUAGUCAGUCAAUUGCUUUCAGGAGAAUUGAGUGGGAUUUGCAAGAGAUGUUGUACGUGCAUUAUCACUUUUGUGCUGCUGUUUGCCUUUGCUCAGACAUGAUGGGCAGGCUUUGUAAACCAUGCAUGCAACCAAAGAAGGGCGAGAGUACACAAUAGGAGGACUGACGUAUUUAAUUCUCAAGGUGAGGGGAAGCAGUGCCCAUUUCCAGUUGCAUUUGCUGUGAGGGCUGGACAACUUGGGCCUCUAAAUCUAGGUGGUCUCACCAGUCUGCCCUCUCCCCAGUGCCGCAGUCUCCCCUCUCCCAAAAUUGUAAACCCAAGACUUCAUUCAAGGGCAGGGUAACUCAGGCCCAGCAACUAUGAGACUCAGGGCUAGCCAGUGGGGGCCAAUUUGAAGCAGUGGGGUGCAACUUGAAUUUUUUUUUUUGUAGAGCCCCAGUUCACAGCCAAAGUCUGCAAAAUCUUAUAGAUAUAAACACAUGUGUAUAUAUGAAUUAAUAAAAAAUAUUCAAAGUAUAAGCCCAGAUGCAAAACCUUGCACUCACACAGAGAUUUAUUUGUUUAUUUAGAUUUUAGCACAAAUUCCAGGUUCUGGGAAGGCUCUGGAAUAAGUUUCUAAAACAGGACAUAUUAGAGAAGCAGGUUGGCAGAAUUCCUAUGUAUUGGAAAGCAAAGGACUUGCAAAUAUUCUACAUGAGAAAGGAAAUCUGGUAACUGAUUUGCCUUUUGGGAACUAGCUGUCACGACUGUAUGCUAUAAAGCAAUGUAAAAGAUGCCUACAGAGAAAAAUAUAUCAGCACCGAACAUGUGUUUAAAAUUGACUCUUCAUUUAAAUGUGUCUGGAGAUUAACUACUCUCAGUGUAGUGGAAAAUCAUCUCCACUUUCAGAUACUUUAAUGAGGGAAUUUGCUCACAUAGUCGAUCAGGCAAAAAUUUAAAUUCACAUGCAGUCUUCGAAUGCCCAACAUAUCCUAGUAAGAGAUUUGAUCGUAAGACCUCUCUUUUUCAAACUGAGAUGCAUGAUAGGCAGGUAUCCUCUGGUUUAUUUCCACUGAAUAGCUUGAAGACAGCUUAAUUGAACUCAUUAGCAAACCUAGUUUCUAAUUUUAUGCUUUCUGCUGCAAUAAAAAAUCAUUGCAAAGAUUGGGUGAAAUUCUGUCUGCAGAAUGGCAUUUGAUUCAUCAGAAGCAUAUGCUAAUGUUAGAGAAAUGAAGGGUUUUUUAAUUAUUAUCCUCUAUCUCCUCGGCACGGGUGGCGCUGUGGGUUAAACCACAGAGUCUAGGACUUGCCGAUCAGAAGGUCGGCAGUUCGAAUCCCUGCGACGGGGUGAGCUCCCGUUGCUUGGUCCCUGCUCCUGCCAACCUAGCAGUUCAAAAGCACAUCAAAGUGCAAGUAGAUAAAUAGGUACCGCUCUGGCGGGAAGGUAAACGGCGUUUCCAUGUGCUGCUCUGGUUCGCCAGAAGCAGCUUAGUCAUGCUGGCCACAUGACCCAGAAGCUGUACGCCGGCUCCCUCGGCCAAUAAAGCGAGAUGAGCGCCGCAACCCCAGAGUCGGCCACAACUGAACCUAAUGGUCAGGGGUCCCUUUACCUUUACCUUUAUCUCCUCGGCAGCCCCCUAGUGCCAUGCUCCUUACUUUUCUGGAGGUUCCUCCAGUCUUCUGGAACUGAUUUUCAGGGGAUGCAGGGGAAAGGGGAACUGGUGAAAACUGCCUCUCCUUCCCUUACAUUCCUGGGCACUAGGGAUGGUGUUGAAUUUUGCAGUAAUUGAGCUUGCACUCAAGCUGAGCUCUGUUCAAGAGCUUGUGAGCCAAUCAGGUUUCAUGUGAGUAAUAGCAAUAUUUAGAGAUACAAAUCUCUUCAGUCAUGAAAAAAUAAGGACCCAAAAUAAGGUUAUCAAACCAGGCCGUUAUAACUGUGCAUCUGUACAACUGUGUGUUCCCUUCAACUGUGCUUAAUUGAGGACAUGACUGUAGUCAUUAACUGUAAUGGUUACAUUUCUAAUCCUGUCUCCUACCUUGACUGUGUGUAGAGUGGGGAGUAAUGUUUAUAUUAGGACAUGCUGAAUUUUUCAACUUUCAAAUUCCAAAAAGGAUGGGUGCUAAAAAUUUGUAACAUGACUUGGGAAUUCAAAAUAUAUUUUGGUUAAAUUAAUAUAAUUUAGUUUUCCUUGGUAAGUAAAAUUUGUGUAAAAAUGCAUAGAAAUCAUUUAAAAUGAUUGCUAAGUACUUGUAGUUAUGUAUUAUUAUUAUUAUUAAGCAUCACCUGACAUUUUCAGAAGAUAAAAUUAAAAUUCUUGGAUUUUCUGAAAGCAGUUUAUGUGUUUAUUCAUUAAACAUAGACUUAUCAGGCCAAAUGUUGUCUGAUAACAGGAAUAAUAGCAGAUUUUUAAUUCCCCACACCCAAAAACAUAUUUUUAAGACCCCUCACUGAAUAAAUUUUCAAAAAAUAAGUUUCACUCCCGAAAAUGACAUGCCCUAUUAUUGUAUUGGACGUGGGUGGCUCUGUGGAUUAGACCACAGAGCCUAGGACUUGCUGAUCAGAAGGUUGGCGGUUCGAAUCCCCACAACGGGGUGAGCUCCUGUUGCUCGGUCCCUGCUCCUGCCAACCUAGAAGUUUGAAAGCACGUCAAAGUGCAAGUAGAUAAAUAGGUACCGCUCCGGCAGGAAGGUAAACAGCGUUUCUGUGCGCUGCUCUGGUUCGCCAGAAGCGGCUUAGUCCUGCUGGCCACAUGACCCGGAAGCUGUACGCCGGCUCCCUCGGCCAAUAAAGCGAGAUGAGCGCCGCAACCCCAGAGUCGGACACGACUGGACCUAAUGGUCAGAUGUCCCUUUACCUUUAUUAUUGUAUUAUUAUCCAUGAUUCAUUAGAUAAAACCUUUGGUGCAACCUGCAAAUCACUGGUGCCGUUUGACCCUAUUCAUUGAGAAGGGAGUUAUAUAGCUUCACUGAAUAUCCUAUGUUGGAAUUAAUGGAGAUCACACAGCAGCAGUCCAUACCUCCCUUUUACGCCCUACUAUUUAUUCAAUAAAAAGAACUAUUAACUUUCUUUUUGGCAGAGUUCCAGUGAACAGUGAUUCCUCCUGUGAGCAGCCUUAGAUGCCAAAAGAUGAUUUGAAAUUACUGAACCAACUCACAUAAGCCAUGCACCUGGGGCAUCCCAAGGCAAUAGCAGCCAUUCAGAAAGGAUCAGAUCUUGAAAUAAUAUUCCUCACGUAGCCCUUCCUAGACUCUCUCUCUCUCUCUCUCUCUCUCUCUCUCUCUCUGUGUGUGUGUGUGUGUACAUGUGCCAGAGACUUGUGGUGUAAUUGCUGCUCUGAGUUUAAUAAACGCUUUCACUUCGGUAAAUAUACCAGAGAUUUAAAAAUUUCACAAGCAGCUUCAGGGUUACCAUUACAUCUUGUGCACUGUGAUGAUGUGCUGCAGAGCCAAAUGUAGCGCACUCUGCAUCGGCAAAGGAUCUUGUGGCAUUUUAAAGACAAACAUAUUUUGGUCUGCAUUUAAGCUUUGCUUUUGUAGGCAAGGGAGCCCACUUCAUCCGAUUCACAAAGUGAGGCUGAAAGGUCAAGCAAUGCAAAAAGGCACCAGUACGCAGGACUACGCCAAGCACAAAAGUGAAUUCAGAGACCAAUCAAAUGGAUGCAUUGUCCAGUCUGCUUAGGAGCAACCCAUUCCCCACUACUGGUGAUAAAUAGAUGUAGCCAGAUAAAUAGUAUAGAGAGGAGCAAUUAGGUUCUGCAGCCAGCUAGUCAUUCGUAGAGGCCAAAUUCCACAGGGUCAAAUUUGCUAAUUAAUCCCAAUCCAGUGACUUCACCCUGGAGUCUUCCUUUGACACUUCUCUGUUGGUGCCUUGUGUGCCUUUAAGGUCUGCUACAGAAUAUUCUGGGAGACUGAGGGCCAAGCUAGAUGGUAAUAUAUCUGUACCCUUAAGCACAGGUUUUUUUUAACUCAAAUUGUCAGUGUGGAUGGGGCUGGCCCAAGGCAAUUUUUCUGCCUGAGCUGAAGGUCUAGAUGGUGCCCCCACCUGCAUUCCAGACACAGAAACCUGUUGGACCGGCAGUUGAAUCUUAUGUCAAGACUGACAAUGUGUUUGUGUCCUCCAUGCACCUGAGGGUAGCCGGCUAGUUGUGGGAGUCCAGGACAGGUCACGUGGUACUGUACAUAAGCACAUAAGAGCACUUCAUCCUCUAACAGAAGGGAGCACUCAGAAGACCUAGCUGUCAUUGCUGACCCCCAGCAUCUGCUGCCCAAGGUGGUUGUCUCACUUUGCUGGUCCUGAGCGCAGAGGGUCUGACUCAGGGAAGUAGAGGGGCAUUAACCCUUUGCAUUCAGUAUGGUCUCAAUUUUUAAAGGGAUUCCUCCCUGAUACUGAUAUUUGCAUAGGGAUGGGAACACUCACUUACAUUGCAAUCCCUGUUGUUGUCAUGCCCUCCUCCCAAUCCAAAUCAAGAUCAUAGCUGGGGAGAAAGGACUGAAGCCCUCUGCCCCUCAUGCUAGGGACACGAUCAAGAUCAGGCCACCCCAUGCUAGCAAUUUGGAUUGUUGUUGUUUUGAAAAACAGCAACCCUGCCUCAAAGGGCACAGGCGUUGUCUAGUUUGUCCCCAAAGUGCUAUCCCCUGGGCUUUGGCAUGCUGUCCCAGCUAUCCCUAACUGGUGCCUAACUCCAGGUGUUUUGGAAUCCAACUCCCAUCAGCCCCAGCCAGCAUGUGGAAAGCUGGCAAAAGCUGUCCUAAGUUUUUAGUGGUAAUGCUGAGUAUAGUGUCUUCAGAAGAGCUAUUGCUCAAAGUUUAUAUGUGCUGUUUCUAUGUAACAGAAGUUUCUAUGCAAUUUGUUAUCAAGCAGCCAUGCUCCCAUAGGCGGGAUUAGACACAUUCUGGAUAAUUUUUAUGCCCCAGAACUUGCAGUAACUGGGAAAUAAUACGCUUACAAACAAAUCAAACGAGGCAAGUAAAAAUGAUGUCAGCAGCUGUAAUUUCUAAUAGCUGCCAUUUCUUUCUCACACACGUUUUUAAAACAUCAAAAUUUUCCAGAUCGUACAAGACAUUUGACAAGAGCCAUUAACCGAAUCCAAAAUGUAGCCGAGCAGCCCGUGUUUUAAGCCUGUCCUCCUGUGUGCUGCAAGUAUUGCCUGUCCGCUGGAAUAGAGACCUGUCAGUUGAGAUGAGAACAGCUGCAUCAUAAAUCACAUGGCACAGCCUUAGCAGGGACCGGUGUUAACAGGCCUCUGUCACAGAACAAGCCUUUCUUGCCUUGCAAAUAAUCUUCCCGGUGUAGCUUUGAUGUUCAUUUUGAGAAAAUACUUGGCUUUACAUUACGGCUUCUCUGACAGUUGAUUGCCUGGCAGUGCAAUCAACUAUGACGAGUCUUGCUGAGGGCUCUGCUGCCACCACGAGAGUUUCAAACCACUUAUUUUGGCGGAUCUGUUAAACUGCACAGUGGACUGAGUUUAUCAGAGCUCGUGAUGUGCUUGAGUUCAAGAGACUUUUGCAUCCAUAGUUCCUGGCUAGACUCCAAAGAGUGACUUUGGCGCACGCUAGGGCUGAGCAUGAUCUGCGGUAUUUUUGGACUUCUCUUUCUUUAAACAGAGGAUCCAAUGCCAUAUCACAAACUGCUUCUGAAAGUCUCAUCAGGUUCAAAAGUGGUUUGCCAUGUGGUAGCGCUGGGAGGAGAGGGGGAGCAGCUGCUAGAGAAAUGGAAGCCUAGAGCCUCUUUGGACAUAUGGAACAAUUUGAGGACUACUUUGGAUCCCAGUCAAUCUAGUAGAUGAAACUAAGACCCCCAGCUAAAUAUUACAUUAUUCAGACUCCUUCAGGAUUUAGAAAUGAGCGACUGACGAAACGAACUACGAAAUGUUUCAGCAGUGCUAAUUUACUUACUCAGUUGUUGUUUCAUUAAAUGGAAGUUGGCACUGGGCUUAUUUAUCUAUUUGACCCAUUUUUGGCCCAUUGUUCAGCCAAAAAAGCUCCCAGAGAUCAAUAACAGGGCUUUGUUUACCUCAGGUUUACAGUCCACAAGAUUCAGAAGGAAAUUGGACUGUGGGAGGAAGGAGAGGGAAAAACUAAGGCGAGGAGGAGGAGACAAAUUGGGCUGGUCUCUCCACUAAGCCAGUGCAAUGGUUCUGCUUACCUUCUCAACUCCUUUGCUGCAGUCUCGUGGAAUGGCUGCUGCCACAUGGCAACUGAGGGAAGACCUGUGUGGAGCUGGUUUCUCAGCUGAACCAACAGAAUGGCCCUGCUUCCCAUCUCUUCCUCUGGUGCAUGGAAUGGCUGCUUCCAGGUGACAUUUAGGCUUUCCAAAAGGACCACCUGAGACCCUCCUCAGUUGGUUCAAGUAUGGCCUGCCUCUCCCAUUGGUGAAGUCUUACCUGGGCCUACUAGAAAAAGUCCCAGCUUAUUUUCCACCUAACAAAUGAGGGACUUUGGCCAUCCCUAAGAAUGUGUUGUUGUUGUUUUGUAACUCGUGUUGCUGAUGGAGCCUUGUAGAUACAUGUAUUCAAGUUGGUGGACUUGGGGAGAGAUUUAUUGUCAUAUAAAACCUCCUGAGUUAGCGAUGCAGGAGAAGUUUGAUUCAGGUCACAUCUAAGUGCAAAACUAUGUAAAUAAAACUUUUUGAAACAAUAGGCAAACCUAAACGCAGCCAUCCUUUGACAUUCACACUUCUACAAAUUUUGCAAUGCAGUUGUCCAACCAAGUCAUGUGCAAGCAAAUGCAUACACUGGGAUAAAGCAUGCAUAAAAAUGCACAUAUUAGUGACAAUAACAUACGAAAAUGCAUCACAUUAGGGGAAAUGGUUUUGUGAAAAUGUUUUGUGAAAAUGGUAAAUUAGGAGAAAUUGCUAUUGAAUUUUCAUGAGGACUUUCUUUUUUUAAAAAAAAUCACAAACUGAUGUGGAAAUGCAGAGAACAGAAUUUAAGAUUGUGUUGUGUUUUAAUCCGCUUUUAGUCUAUCAUUGGUUUUAAUUAUUUUUGAAUGUAUUAAAUAGUGCUUUUAACUGCUUUUACUGGUAAUGAUAUUGUUUUAUUCUUUUUUAAAACUGAUCUAAGGUUUGUUCGUGGUUUUUUUUACUUCUAAGCAGUAUACAAAUUUUAUGAAAUUGAUAAAUUAAAUUAAUAUGGGGGGAAAUGAGAUGCUGAGAGAUUUGCCCACCUCUCACUCUGGUGAUGUGCUUGCAACUGUUUUAUUGUUGAACACAACCAAGUUGCAUCUUUUCGCUUUAGUUCCCAGUUACACAGUCCCAUCAACCCACUUAAACUGAUGUUUCAGCUUCCAGUGGCAGCUGAACAGUAUUUCUUGGGUUCAUUGGGUGGGGCUUCAUAAUUCUACGUGAUGUAAUGAAUUAUGCAAAAUGAGGAAGAAAUUUGUGUUAAACUUGUAUAAUUUAUUUUCACAGCAGAAUCCUUUAUUUAUUUAUUUGUGCAGAAUACUGAUUGACUUGGCGCAGCUUUCGUGUUGUAUUUUUAAUGCAAACUAAAUGCUUCUCUGUCUAUCCCUUUGCUCCUUAAACAUUCUCUUUACUUCUGCUCUUAGAUGGGAUUAUUUUGUGCAGACGGUCUCUUCCUGCAUCUGUGAAAUUUCCCAAAACACAUCCUGCCACUCUCCUUUCUUUAGCUAAAUGACAUUAGGCCUGCAAAUGUGCUUACUGCUCCUCCACACAGGAAUCUACUGCAUGCCGAUAAGAUGGAAGACCAGGAGGACACUUUAAAAGCCUUAAGAUGUUCUAAGCACUGAAAAUAACUCAUCAAAGCUUUGCCACUUAUAUAUUAAUAGGAUUGGAGAAGUGCAGAGGAGGGUGAGCUUCAGAUAGAAACCUGGAUGCCUGCUUUUGGAAGGAAAAAUACAAGCAACAGAAACUACUAAAAAAUAAAAUAAAACCCCAUACGUUUCAUAAGACAGAAGGUACACGUGAUAAGUUACAUGUGUCGUUAAUUUUUAAGUGAUCUGAGGAGUGGGGUGGCGUUGAUUCAUUUGUUUGCCAUGAGCUCAGAAAAGGAAGGCCAGUCAGGGAGGGGGGGGGAAUUGCAGCCAAUUUUUUAGGAUUUUAUUUCACUGCAGCAACGUAGCGUUUAAUUUUUAUUGUUUUGACUGCAGCAUGAACUGAGAUGAUGGAUUAGACUAGGAUGUGCUGGAUAUACUUUUGCAUAUACGAAUACACAAGGGAGACCAAAACUCAUCAAUAAUAUAAACAGAGAUUGAGGCAUCAGGGGCAGAAAAAUGCUUGAAGUGUACAACUCUUCAUGGCUUCCAUGAGAUACUUUGGGAUCCUUAUGGCAAUGUGAACAUUUUCAUGAAAUCGCCUCCUGCUCCUAUGUGACCUGCUCAGUUCAGACACAGGGCUGUAGCUCAGUGGCAGAGCAGCUGCUUUGCAAACAGAAGGUUCCAUGUUCAGAUUCCAGCAUCUUUGGGUCAGGCUGGGAGACACCCCUGUCCAAAUCUUAACAGUCAGUGAAGACCCUCCACCUGUUUUGAGACUACAGUUCCCAUCAUCCCUGGCCACUGGUUCUGCUAGCUAGGGAUGAUGGGAGUUGUAGUCUAAAAACAGCUGGAGACCCAAGUUUGGGAAACCCUGGUGUAGUUGAUACUGAAUUAGAUGGUCUAAAUUUGAUGGACUCUGUAUAAGACAGUUUCCUGCGUUUGUUUGUUCAUAAGAUUUCUUACCUGCCCUUCAGCUUAAGGUUCUAGGGCAGCUUACAACAAUAUAGUGUCCCAAAACAGAUAAACCAGUUAGAAUUACAAAAAGAAGUAAAAUCCUUGCAGCUAGAAAAGUGCAAAUUCAGCAGAGAGGUGGGUCCCACAAAACAAAAUACUUAACUGUCAGUGACCAGGGUAAAGGGUAAAAAGCUAUUUCCUAGGUCACCAUUCCCUGCACUUCUGAGGGCUGUGGCAAGAGAGCACCCUUUGCUAAUCUUAAUACCUGAGAACAUCAGGAGGGAUGGAGACACUAACAUGAGCACCUUGAAUUGAACCUGGAAACCAACUCGAAACCUGCACAGUUGUUUUAAAACAGGGAUUUUAUGAACCUCAACCAGUCAUAUAUAUGCAUAUGCACCAACAUUUCUCCGAUAAAAAUAGGGAUGCCCUAUUCCAUUAUAAUAUUCAUAAUAAUAUUUUUUAUAUUUAUAUAUAGCCCAUCUGACUGGGUUGCCCCAGCCACUCUGGGUGGCUUCCAACAUAUAUACAAGCAUACUAAAACAUGAAACAUUAAAAAACAUCCCCAUACAGAGCUGCCUUCAGAUGGCUCAGGGGUUGAAUGACUCCAUAAAGGUAAAGGUAAAUGGACCCCUGACCAUUAAGUCCAGUCGCGGACAACUCUGCAGCACACAGAAACACUGUUUACCUUCCCGCCUGAGCAGUACCUAUUUAUUGACUUGCACUUUGACGUGCUUUCGAACUGUUACGUGGGCAGGAGCUGGGACUGAGCAACGGGAGCUCACCCUGUCGCGGGGAUUCGAACCGCCAACCUUCCGAUUGGCAAGCCCUAGGUUCAGUGGUUUAGACCACAGUACCACCCGUGUCCCUCUUGAAUGACUCCAUACCUUCCAGCAUUUCUCUGAUGAAAAUAGGGACAUCCUAAGAAAAAGCGGGACAUUCCAGGAUCAAAAGCUGAGACAGCUUCUGUAAAUCCAGGGCUCUCCCUGGAAAAUAGGGAGAAUUGGAGGGUCUGUAUAUGGCUGCUCCAGUUUGGACCAGAUGAAGUGUCUGUUGCAAUUUCUUCACUUAUCUAAAUAGUUCUUUUCUUUUUGCUUUUUUGGAGCAAAUUUGGAGCUUACUAUCCACACCUUCAAUCAACUGUACAUGGGAGAAUAAGUGUGCUUUUCCCCAUCCACACCAAUGACUGGAUGCGCCCAGUGGGAAAAUAGUUCCAUUGGUAUACUCUGCAGAUGACCGGUUCAGUUGAACUGGGCUUGAAGCCUCAGGGUGCCAUAACUAUGCUGUAGAAUGGAAGGAGAGAGGCGGGGGCCACCAAAUCUUGGUGUCGCACAGGAAGCCACUGAAAUUUGAGACCCCAAGGUCCGCCACUGCUGCUAACCAGUAAAUGGGCUCAUUCCAAGACCCCAUUGCAUUUCUGGAAUUCUACCCCUGCAGAUUAGGAGAAUGGAAGGAAGGGGCUACUUGUGUCUGCCUGAGCUGUGAUGAACCUGGUUAUUGUGAUUAAAAUUUAUCUGCAGCUAAUGAUCACUGUCAUGGGCAAUAUGUUGGCAGAAUAUCAGCAUCUGUAUGCAUGACUGAGAAUGAGACAGCGGUUUCUCAGUCUUCUGUCGUGCCUGACAGAAAACAUGAUUAAAAACCUUCCACAGAGAAGGGGAUUGAUGCUCAAAUAGUUUUCACACAAAUGGAAAUUUUGAGGAUCCAUUCCAGAUCUGUCACAAAUGCUGGAUUUCUUUUUUCUUUUUUAAACGGGUCAUUCAGUUGAUAUCUAUGAAUGAUUACACUGGUCAACAACAAAUUUGUUGUCUGCGUUUUUUCAGUUGAUUUAGGAUGAAUAUGAUGCGCUGAACCCAAAAAUCACAUUAGUUUUGCUCAAUCAGGUCAAGUUUUUGAGCUAUGGCCACAUGUCUUUUUUUACGUUUAUGUUCACAUGUACACUUGUGUGGAGCAUUUUAGAAGAAGUUGGUGGGGAUAAAAUGCCACGUCGAAUAAUUGUUUUGAUUGGAAAUGAUUAUUUUAAUGACAAGAAGUAUUCAGGUCCGAUAGUUCUGGGUGAUUAUGUCAGAAAGGGAUCAGUUUGAAGUCAUAAAACCUCCAUUUUUUCUCGGAAGAGAAGGACUUAGUGUACUGUGCAGAUAUUGCGCAGCUUCUGCUCAAGCUUGGAGUGCCACAGUACGGACCCAAAGAUUGGAGACUGUUCAUUGACAGCAGCAAGCGAUCACUGAAAUGUGUUCUGCUACACAACGGCAACCAGUUUGCCUCUAUACCUCUGGCUCAUUCGAGUACACUGAAGGAGAACUAUGAAGCGGUGAAGUAUGUGCUGGAGAAAAUUGGUUAUGAUCAGCAUAAGUGGUUUAUUUGCGUUGACCUGAAGAUGGUGAACUUUUUGUUGGGACAACAGUCUGGCUUCACCAAGUACCCAUGUUUUCUGUGCAUGUGGGAUAGUAGGGACCGUGCUCAGCAUUACACGAAGAAGGACUGGCCUGUGCGGGAGGAAUUGGUGCCUUGCAAAAAAAAGGAACAUCAUCAACGACCCUCUGGUGGACAGAGACAGAAUACUCUUCCCACCGCUGCACAUCAAGCUCGGCUUAAUCAAGCAGUUCACCAAGGCUCUGGACAAGGAUGGUGACUGCUUCACUUACUUGUGCCAGGCUUUUCCAGGAUUGACCAUGGAGAAGUUGAAAGCUGGCAUCUUUGACGGUCCUCAGAUCCGUCAGCUCAUCAGAGAUCCAGAGUUCGGAAACUCAAUGAACGAAGUGGAACUGGAAGCGUGGAAGGCAUUUGUUCUGGUAGUGAAGAACUUUCUUGGCAACAAUAAGGCCAGAAACUACGCAGAACUUGUCAACAACAUGCUGACUGCUUUCAGAAACCUGGGCUGCAAACAUGAGUGUCAAGAUGCACUACCUAUUUUCACAUAUGGACCAGUUUCCUGAGAACCUGGGUUCAAUGAGUGACGAGCAGGGGGAGAGAUUCCAUCAGGACAUGAAAGAGAUGGAGACCAGGUAUCAGGGUCGCUGGGACGCAGCCAUGAUGGCUGACUACUGUUGGACUCUGAAGAGAGACCUCCGUGCCGCUGAGCAUUCCAGGAGUUCCAAGAAACGGAAGUUCAAGCCCUGAAGUUUGAAAAAUGGUGAAGCAACAUGCAAUUUACAUGUACUUACCUUUAUCAAUGCCCACCAUUCAGUUUACAAUAAACCUGACCUGAUGGAGAAAAACAGGUGCCAUUUCCUGAUUCAGCAGUGCAAAAAUACCCUAAAUCAGUUGUAGAAAUCUAGACAACAUUCAAAAAGUAAAAAAUUGUUGCCCAGUGUUAUUAAAAGCAUUUUUGUUUUAUCAAAGAGUUGCUGGUGUUGGGAGUUGCUAAUAUCAGUACAGUCUCCAGCCUACCUUUUCCCCCCCACUGAUGUUGUUUCAUUCUGGGGGUUUUCCUGUUUUAUAUUAUUUUAUCUCUCAUAAGCCGCAGCGGGAGCUGUGUGACUGAUGGAGCAGGUUAGAAAUGUCAGGAAUAAACAAAUAAUAUGUCAAAAUGACUUCAAGUUUGCAUUUGUUGCAAAUUGGCAGGGCAUAACGAAUAUAUAAUAAAAUGGAGCUUGGACUGUAAGUAAUGUUUCAUCAUCAACAGGAUUUUAAUUUAAUCUCCUGUCAUUUUGAGUCAGCUAACUAGUCUGUAUAUAUCUGUGUUUGCGUGUGUAUUCCUGAGAAAGCAGUGCUCAGAGACAAGUUUGCUGUUGCAAGCAGCGAGAAAGCAAAAGGGCAACACGGCCAAAGGCAUGGAAGCUGAAAGUGACUAUGUGGGGAAGUGGUUAAUUUCAGCCUUGCCUUCAGGAAAGGAUGAGUCCCAAAAUAUCACAUUUUAACAAGCAAUCUUUGGUAACUAUAUAAAGCUUCCAGGCACUUUGCCAAGGAGUUUGCUCAGAGGUCAAGUUGCAAGCAUUGCAUGCCUGAUUCUACAUAUUUCUGCAGACAGAACAGACACACACACACACACACAUCUCAAUGGCUAGAGGUUUUGACACAUGCGUGGCCCACCCAAUACUUAGGAAAGGGCCAUAGCUCAAUGGAGAACACAUGCAGGUGGUCCCAUCAUUAAUCCCUGGCAUUUCCAGGGAGGGCUGAGAGAUACCCCUGUCUGAAACCCUGGGGAGUUGCAACCAAUUAGCAUAGACAAGACUGAGCCAAAUGGACCAGUGGUGUGAGGCAGCUUCCUAUGUACCUUGCAUGAUUCAGAAACAGGUCCUACUGAUUCUUUGGAGUUAAUCCCCAGAUAAGUGUAUAUAUGGCUCCAUAUAUGCCCCUUAAGGGGGCAGAAAGAGCAGGAAUUAUUACAUCUCACCGCAAAAUUGAAUACUAGCUAUCGCUGCAUUUAAAAAAAGAGAACAUAUGCCAUCAAGGUAUAAUUAGGCAUUUACGCAUUUCGAUGUAUUGUUCUGUUUCUUAAUCAUGGCUGUGCAGAAAACUAGUUUGAAUCAUUUUCUUUAAAAAAUAAAACUGACUUUUUGCAAUAGCAUAUCCUUCAACAUUAGGGACAUGGGUGGUGCUGUGGUCUAAACCACAGAGCCUAGGGCUUGCCGAUCAGAAGGUCGGCGGUUCGAAUCCCUGUGAUGGGGUGAACUCCCAUUGCUCGGUCCCUGCUCCUGCCAACCUAGCAGUUCGAAAGCAUGUCAAGUGCAAGUAGAUAAAUAGGUACCGCUCCGGCGGGAAGGUAAACAAGAUUUCCAUGCACUGCUCUGGUUCGCCAGAAGCGGCUUAGUCAUGCUGGCCACAUGACCCAGAAGCUGUACGCCGGCUCCACGGCCUAUAGAGCGAGAUGAGUGCCGCAACCCCAGUCUCGAUCACGGUCUGACCUAAUGGUCAGGGGUCCCUUUUUAUCCUCCAACAUUAAUGUGACAAAAAUAGGGAUGGCAAGAAUAAGAAUAAGAAUAAAAAUAAGAAUAAGAAUAUCCCGCCCAUCUGGCUGGGUUGCCCCAGCCACUCUGGGCGGCUUCCAACGUAUAUAAAAACAUAAUAAAAUUGUACAGGAUUGCCUUCAGAUGUCUUCUAAAGGUUGUAUAGUUACUUAUCUCCUUGACUUGGGGGUUGCAUAACUCCACACCCUCCAAAAUUUAUCCGAUGAAAAUAGCAACGUUCUGAGGAAAAGCGGGACAUAUCAGGAUCAAAUCAGAAACCAGGACAACUUCUUUCUGUAAAUCUGCGAAUGUCCCUGGAAAAUAGAGACAACUGGAGUAGGAGUUUCUCCAUAAAUGUGAGCAUAGUUGCUCAGACAUUGAGUGCUGUUACUGCACCACAGAGAUGCACUUGGCCAUAAUAAAUUAUACAGCUGGAUUGGGAACACUUGUACCUUAACUAGGCCAUGGAGCUUUUAUCUGACUAUUUAGCUGCCUGGGUGCAGUGAAACAGUGACCCUCAUGUGGCCUUGGGAGACUCUGUAUGGUUGCCUUCUUCUGCCACUCUGCUGGAAAUAAUAGGCCAUGCAUAAUAGUUCCGCAGACAUAUGACAUCCAGGAAUCGACAGCCUGUUCUCUUUCUGCUCUGCUGCUGCAUGAGUUCAAAGCAAUAAAAGAAAAUUAGCUGUAGUGAAUACUCUUGUGUGAAUGUUAAGGUGGAAACCAAAUACUAGCUUAAGAUCCACAGUUUUAAUUCCUGUACUGUUGCCUGUUGCUUGACAAAAUGGUAAGUCCCCCUCAUAAGGAAUAGCUGGAUAUCAGCCACGAAACAUGUGAACCAUUUUUAGAAUAUGACAUUGUACUAAAAUAAAAAAUAAUUAGAUGACAGCUGGCAGAAUGGUGAAAGACUCUAUGCAGCUAACAGUUCUGUAAAUAAAAACGCUGAGUUGGGCCAUUACUUCCCUCGAUAGCAAGGUUUUGGGAAAGGGGAGCUAGGGCCUUUUUAACAACAAAUGUGCAACCAUAAAAAAUCUUUUCACUGAUAUCGUGCAGGUAACGUGAUGCUUUUGAUGCACAGCCUUCCUGUUUGAAGCAGCUGCCGUUCAAGCAGAGAGCAAAGGCAGACAGAAUGACCCCAAGUCAUGAACAAUGACUAGCAAAGAGUGGGCUGGAACAAUUCAAACAGUCUGCAGCAAGAAGGUUAUUAGCUGAGACUGUAAUUUUAUUGCUGCGUGGUGUCAUCGCUUGCUUCCUGCUGCAUGCAUUUCUUCCCCUCUGUUCCAGUCAGGUCACUUGUCUGGAUAACUCAAAGCUGAAUUAAGUGCACCAACCCAAAGUCCGAUUGCAUAUUGGAUAGGCAACCCAUUAUGUGCCAGCUGCAGCAGGUCCAGUGGGCAAUUGCCUUGCAAUCUGCAUUACAGGUGAGAGCGAUCGCAGAGAUGCUCAAGGUACUUGUGUUUGCACUGUGUCAGGAAAGAGCAUCAGCCCUGGGUUGCCCCUUCACCACACCCAUCUUCUUUUAAAAGGUAUGUUCAACUGAGGCCCAUUUGUUUUGCGGUCCUUCCAGCUCAACCGAAGAGAUAGAUGGAGACUCUGAAAAUGCGCCUUCUAUCAAGUUUGAGCAAAGCAGUGUUUCCAAGGCUGCUGGCACGUGUGACAUGCUCUCCCACCCUCCAAGCCCAUUAAAACAGAGAGACAACACACACACACACACACACACACACACAUAUAUAUAUGGAACUCCAAUUGUACAUGUAUUGCUCCCAGCGUACCUUAGGCUGAGAGAAAGUUAUAGGCCCAAAGUCAGGCAGUGAGCUUUACAGCUGAGUGUGAAUUUGAACUUACCACUCAAUUAGGAGAGCACACCAAGUCAUUCUUGGGUUGGAUAACUAAUGGAAGAGCCAUAGCUUAGCAUCUGUCAUAGACCAUUUCCAGGUUCAAUCCCUGAUAUCUCCAUGAGAGCUUGGGAUGUCCUCUCUCUGAAAUCCUGGAGAUCUAGUCAAUAAACACAAUAUUGAGUUAGAAGAUGGACCAAAGCUUUGACUGAGCAAUUUCCUGUGUCCUCCUGAGGUGGAAAGCAGGAUACUUAACAUGCCACCUGCACAUGAUAUGUUUUGGAAAUGAGGGGAGGAAAUCACACGAGGACUCAGCACAUCACAAGGUUAGUGUGCCACCCUUUCUCAGGCUGGUGUCCUCUAGAUUUUUUGGAUGUCAGCUCCCGUUAUUCCUGACCAUUGGCCAUGCUGACUGGGGCAGAUGGGAGCUGAAGAAGUUCAGCAGCAUCUGGACCAUGUCUCAUAUUUCCUAGAUUGUGUAGACAAAGCAAAAAUCACAACAUGGGAUAUUUCCCCUACGCAGCAUUAAUUCCAUAGCUUCACUCAAUUCAAUUAGAUGGAAAGCAUGGUGAGAGGGAGUGGAGGAGAGACAGCAUAGUCAGAUGAAAACUAAGUAAGAAAGAGAUGAAAUGAAGCCAAGUUAGAUACAUUUGUAGAGUUAAUAUUUUAAGUGCUAUUUGGUUUUCUGUUUGUGGCCUCUUCGAAAUAUCAAAACUUCUUUUUUUCUUUCUUUCUUUUUACAGCUUCCAGAAUGUAACAUUAUCAGAAAGGGAUUCAGUGCCAGCAAUUUAGAUUUGCCAGUUGCUAAAAUAUUUCUGGAAGUGCCACAGUCCAAGAUAGAGUUACAGGGUAGUUAGGGAUAUGGCUUACCCCUUCCAAGAAGAUGGUAGCUUGACUCAACUCAUUGCUCAAAGUCAUAAAAGGCACCUGCGAUGUUCUCAGUUAGAUUCCACUUUUUGGAACCAAAGGCCUCAUUUGAAGUUCAGAUCCACUGGUGGAGGGUAUCACUCCCUCUUUUCCUGUUAUUCAGAGAUGAUUGCCAUCGCCCAUGUAGCCAAAACACAACAACCCAGGCACAAAACAACCCAGCUAGGACCGAGAGUGCUUUGUGUUUACAGGAUGUUGAAUGACUGCUUGGGGCAGGGGCUAAAAACCAGGUAGGAGGAAGGAUUGAAUGGGGGGAAAGGUUGAGAGAAAAACAAUCCCUUUGUCUGGAUAGUUCAUUUCCUGAUUCACACGGAGGAGCUAUUUUUAAUGUUCCCAGGGGGAAAAAAGUCAAGGCUGUUUAUAAAAAUCAAUGGAG